UACGUAGGGUGCAAGCGUUGUCCGGAAUUAUUGGGCGUAAAGAGCUCGUAGGCGGUUUGUCGCGUCUGCUGUGAAAACCCGAGGCUCAACCUCGGGCCGCAGUGGGUACGGGCAGACUAGAGUGCGGUAGGGGAGAUUGGAAUUCCUGGUGUAGCGGUGGAAUGCGCAGAUAUCAGGAGGAACACCAAUGGCGAAGGCAGAUCUCUGGGCCGUAACUGACGCUGAGGAGCGAAAGCAUGGGGAGCGAACAGG
rnacentral:rRNA from 1 species